GUAGGUGGCAAGCGUUGUCCGGAAUUAUUGGGCGUAAAGCGCGCGCAGGUGGGAUAUUAAGUCUGGUGUUAAAGUUCGGGGCUCAACCCCGUGAAGCAUUUGGAAACUGAUAUUCUUGAGUGCAGGAGAGGAAAGUGGAAUUCCUAGUGUAGCGGUGAAAUGCGUAGAUAUUAGGAGGAACACCAGUGGCGAAGGCGACUUUCUGGACUGUGUCUGACACUGAGGCGCGAAAGCCAGGGUAGUGAACGGGAUUAGAUACCCCGGUAAUCCUGGCCGUAAACGAUGGGUACUAGGUGUUGGGGGUAUCGACCCCUCCAGUGCCGGAGUUAACGCAAUAAGUACCCCGCCUGGGGAGUACGGCCGCAAGGUUG
rnacentral:rRNA from 1 species